GCCGAGGCUGGCACCGGCUUGAACGAAGGAGACCUGAAUGGCGGUGGCAGAGGCGACACGCUCUCCCUGCAGGGCCCAGGGCAGCGGGGGAUCGCGGAUCCGGGCUGGUCCAGGGCUCUGAGGCGCCUCCGUGGGCCGAGCCCACCCGGCCUUUCCUGGGCUCCGGCCCGAUCCUUCCCCCCCUUCCCUCCCUCGCUCCCUGUCUCCCUCGUGGCUCUGGGGAACCCCACCCACAGCGGACCCCAGGCCCGAGGCUCAGCCGCCCGGCCCCCAUGCCUGGCCGGGCACUCGGCCACUCCCGCCCUCCGUCCCCGGCCGCCGGUUGCGGUUUGGCCCCCGGGGGCGCGGGCACGCCCCCGGUCCGGUGCCCCCAGCAGCGCCGUCCCGGGCCCGACUCCGGCCCUCUUGGCGCGGGGCCAUGGGCCGCCUGGACGACCCGGCCAAGCGGAGGAUCGUGGAGCUGCGCAAGGCCGGGCUGAGCUUCCGCAGGAUCCAGAAGGUGCUGGAGCUGGACAACAUCCGGGUGACGCCCCAGGCUGUCUACCUCUUUCUGAAGCGCAAGAACUUGGACCCCUGCCCCUCGCAGCCCCUGCAGCUCCCACAUGCCCCUGACGGCCGGAGCAGCCGGAGGCCAGCCCCGGCCGGCUGGGAGGACCAGCAGCUCUGGGGCCCACUGCAGGAGGGUGGGGCCGAGCCCGGGGACAGGGUGCGGGUGCCCUUAGAGCACGAGCCGGAAGGCGAGGGCACGGACAGCAAAGAGGGCAUCCGGAUCGUCAGCGUGACCUCAUUGAGUAAGGGCGGGGACGCCCGCGGCGAGGACCCCGGCCUGCCCACGGGAUGCCCCGACCUGACCCCCGCCAAUAGCGACCCCUGCCCCGCCGCCACCAGCCCGGGGGGCAGGUCGACCAGCGUCCGGCCGGGCCCUGCCGCCACCCUGAGCCGGGGACGCAGCCCGCUGCUGACCCCCAGGAACCCCGCCCUCAUUGUCCGGAAGAAGAUCGUGGACCGAGCCCUCCUCCUCCAGAAGAAAGCCGGUGUCCACAACGGUCAAGGGGGCUCGAGCACCUCCCCGCUCCCGCCUCUGCUCGUGGGGAUGCAGCCGGCCUGCCCCGCCAGGCCCUGCGGGGGUCUGGCUGCCCUGCCUCGCCCUUUGGGGCCCAGCCCACAGGUGAAGGACGCAGGCACCCAGACAGGCCCUGGCCCUCCCCCGCUCUGGGCCGGUCAGCAUGGCGGGGAAGGUCCUCCUGCGGCGGGCAGUGCCCAGGGCCUGUGGCAGAAGCUGGAGACCCUGCAUCGGGACGUGCAGGCUUUGCUGCAGGGGCUGCAGGGGCUGAGCGAGCGGCAGGGCCGGCUGGAGCGGCAGCAGGAGCAGCAGCAGCGCUGCCAGCAGGAGACGCUGGCCACGCUGCGACAGCUCAGCGGGGCCCUGACCGUGGGGGCCUUGGCCGGGGUGACCGGGGACACCCCCGCCUCCACAGUGCCCGGCUUCAGCCAGUUCAAGAUGGAGCUUCUGUGACCGGCCGGUGCCGGGACGGCGGCCGGAGCCCCGGCCUUCCCCCUGCCAGGGUGGCCGGACGGCCCCUUGGUUGCCCCAUGGGUGACAGGACCCUGGAGAGAGGGAGGGUCACCGGGCCGGACCAGGGGGCAUGUCUGACUGCCCGGCGGGCAGCCUGGGCGUCUCUGUAUAAAGUGAGCGCCACCCAGCCCUCUUGCCUUCCCGUCUCUUUUCUCCCAGGUCGGGCCCGGCCCCUCACCGCCGUGACCGGCCCUUGGCCACGGCCAGUGACUCGAGACGAGAGUCCGCUCCCUCUGACCAUCGGCUUCGCGGUCCGGCCUGGACCGCAGGGGAGCAGGGUCAGGGCCUCGAGGCAGCCAGUGUGAACGGCCAGUGCCGAGGGCCUGCUGUCCAGCCUAUGAGCAAAGAAAAUGACCCCCCCCGCAACCCACCUCAGGGAUAGGCAGUGCAGAGUGGUCCCAUUUGAGGUCCAGAAAAGAAAGGGCAGGGGAGGGACAGAUGGUGAGACAGGAGAAGGGGCUGUUAGAAAGGGGUGGGCUCACAGCUAGACGACCCCUCAUCUCCCUCCUUUCCUCUUCUCCCACCCCCUUCUGCAUUGCCUUGACUUGCUCCCGGAUAGAGCAGGGGCCUGGGAAUCAAGAUCAUGCGUUCUAAUCCCGGCUCCGGCAAUUGUCUGCUGUGUAAUCUCGGGCACGUCAUUUCACUUCUCUGUGCCUCAGUGACCUCGUCUGGAAAAUGGGGUUGGAGACUGUGAGCCCCACGGGGGACAGGGACUGUCCAACCCGAUUUGCUUGUAUCCACCCCAGUGCUCAGUACAGUGCCUGGCACACAGUAAGCGCUUAACAAAUGCCAUUAUUAUUGACUCCCCUCCAGCAACCCCAAAGCACUUAUGCACAUAUCUGUCAUUUAUAUUAAUGACUGUUUCCUCCUCUAGACUGUAAGCUCACUGUGGGCAGGGAAUGUGGCUACCGUUCCACUGUACUCUCCAAAGCACUUUCUACAGUGCUCUGCACACAGUAAGCACUAAAUAAAUACAACUGACUGACUCCCCACCCCCAGGGCAGAGGGCUGAGGAAGUGUAAUCGAAUAAAGAAGCCCUGGCUAAAGCUCCGAUGGAGAAUGUCUGCCCCCAGCCCUUGCCACCUGGACAGAGCCGCUGACCCCGCCGGUCGGUCCCUCGAGGAGGCCAACGUGCUCUACACCGCCCUGCCCCAUCUGUUCACUUGGGACUGGCACCCGGGGCACCGUCCAGCUGCCUGACCCUGCUGCCAGC
rnacentral:lncRNA from 1 species